rnacentral:sRNA from 12 species
GGCGGGAUGGACGGGUGGAAUGCGGAAAACCGGGCGUGGAGAAGGCACAGUUCACCUGAGUGCCCGGUGGCGUUCGCGCGCCGCCGCAAAUGCGAAAUGGCGCUCAGGAAGCGAGGGGCGAAAGCCGGGCGAGAGCCCAGCCAAGAACCGCUCCGAGCUGACUCAUGAACGUGAUAGAGACACUUCAGGCAACCCUUCGGGGAAGCUUGGCAGACCGUCUCAUUCGCCGGACUGGUCCGGUUGCGGUUCCUUCGGGAAUCGGGACUGAGUCAGAAGCUCAAGCCUGUUUCGAGCUUGAGUGGAAAAGUAGUUGCCCAGAGGGUAUUGGUUGCCUACUACAAAAGUUGGCACGGCAGGAAUCCAAAAUUGGCCGGCAACGGUCAGCCAGACGAAAUCCUCCGAAAGGAGGGACAAAGCUGGGGUUCCCGUCGGGAUAGCCACGAGCCCAAGACAACGGCCGUGAAAACUAUCCGGCAAGGUGGCGAUGCAAAAACUGCAGCGCUGUCAUGUGAACGAAAUGGCAACCUGAGGGGUAAGAGGCGAGACCCGUGACACGGGCCAACGCACCGCCAAAAGCGGUGGCCGACCUUGUGUCAGAUGGCUUGGAUGUGAUUGGUUCACAUCCGCGUCCAAGCCUGGUCCGCAGGUCAGUGGCCGCAACCACUGGCUGAAGCGGGCAAAUAAACCUCACCCAAAAAUUCAAGCGCCGUAAGGCCUUGGACGGCCCUGCUAUGAGGCCGACAACUCCGCGAGUCACGGGGAAUGGCGUCGGGGAGCAAUCAACCUGCUUGCAGGUGCCUAAUGGUUGUAUCUGGUAAAGAGCGUGUGGCGAGCGCC